rnacentral:rRNA from 1 species
CGUAGGUGGCGAGCGUUAUCCGGAUUUAUUGGGUUUAAAGGGUGCGUAGGCGGCUUAAUAAGUCGGUGGUUAAAAGUAGCAGCUUAACUGUUUUACAUGCCAUCGAUACUGUUGAGCUUGAGAUAUUUGGAGGCAGCUAGAAUUUCCGGUGUAGCGGUGAAAUGCAUAGAUACCGGAAGGAAUACCAAUUGCGAAGGCAGGUUGCUACGAAUAAACUGACGCUGAUGCACGAAAGCGUCGGGGGAUCAAACAGGAUU